CCUACGGGUGGCAGCAGUGGGGAAUAUUGGGCAAUGGGCGCAAGCCUGACCCAGCAACGCCGCGUGAAGGAAGAAGGCUUUCGGGUUGUAAACUUCUUUUGUCAGGGACGAAGCAAGUGACGGUACCUGACGAAUAAGCCACGGCUAACUACGUGCCAGCAGCCGCGGUAAUACGUAGGUGGCAAGCGUUAUCCGGAUUUAUUGGGUGUAAAGGGCGUGUAGGCGGGGAGGCAAGUCAGAUGUGAAAAUCGCGGGGUCAACCUGUGGCCUGCAUUUGAAACUGUUUUACUUGAGUGCUGGAGAGGCAAGCGGAAUUCGGGGUGUAGCGGUGAAAUGCAUAGAUAUACGGAGGAACACCAAUGGCGAAGGCGGAUUGCUGGACAGUAACUGACGCUGAGGCACGAAAGCGUGGGGAGCAAACAGGAUUAGAUACCCGAGUAGUC
rnacentral:rRNA from 1 species